GCAAGACCAAAGAGGGGGACCUUCGGGCCUCUUGCCAUCAGAUGUGCCCAGAUGGGAUUAGCUUGUUGGUGAGGUAACGGCUCACCAAGGCGACGAUCCCUAGCUGGUCUGAGAGGAUGACCAGCCACACUGGAACUGAGACACGGUCCAGACUCCUACGGGAGGCAGCAGUGGGGAAUAUUGCACAAUGGGCGCAAGCCUGAUGCAGCCAUGCCGCGUGUAUGAAGAAGGCCUUCGGGUUGUAAAGUACUUUCAGCGGGGAGGAAGGUGUUGUGGUUAAUAACCGCAGCAAUUGACGUUACCCGCAGAAGAAGCACCGGCUAACUCCGUGCCAGCAGCCGCGGUAAUACGGAGGGUGCAAGCGUUAAUCGGAAUUACUGGGCGUAAAGCGCACGCAGGCGGUCUGUCAAGUCGGAUGUGAAAUCCCCGGGCUCAACCUGGGAACUGCAUUCGAAACUGGCAGGCUUGAGUCUUGUAGAGGGGGGUAGAAUUCCAGGUGUAGCGGUGAAAUGCGUAGAGAUCUGGAGGAAUACCGGUGGCGAAGGCGGCCCCCUGGACAAAGACUGACGCUCAGGUGCGAAAGCGUGGGGAGCAAACAGG
rnacentral:rRNA from 1 species